rnacentral:rRNA from 1 species
UACGUAGGUGGCAAGCGUUGUUCGGAAUUACUGGGCGUAAAGCGUGCGCAGGCGGCUUUGCAAGACAGAUGUGAAAUCCCCGGGCUUAACCUGGGAACUGCAUUUGUGACUGCAUGGCUGGAGUGCGGCAGAGGGGGAUGGAAUUCCGCGUGUAGCAGUGAAAUGCGUAGAUAUGCGGAGGAACACCGAUGGCGAAGGCAAUCCCCUGGGCCUGCACUGACGCUCAUGCACGAAAGCGUGGGGAGCAAACAGG